rnacentral:rRNA from 1 species
GUGCCAGCCGCCGCGGUAAUACGGAGGGGGCGAGCGUUAUUCGGAAUUAUUGGGCGUAAAGGGCGCGUAGGUGGCCCUGUAAGUCAAAGGUGAAAUCCCUCGGCUCAACCGAGGAAUUGCCCUUGAAACUGCAGGGCUUGAGGCCGGGAGGGGGUAGCGGAAUUCCCAGUGUAGCGGUGAAAUGCGUAGAUACUGGGAGGAACACCGGUGGCGAAGGCGGCUACCUGGACCGGUUCUGACACUGAUGCGCGAAAGCGUGGGUAGCAAACAGGAUUAGAUACCCCCGUAGUCC